CCUACGGGAGGCAGCAGUGGGGAAUAUUGCACAAUGGGCGGAAGCCUGAUGCAGCAACGCCGCGUGAGGGAUGACGGCCUUCGGGUUGUAAACCUCUUUUAGCAGGGAAGAAGCGAGAGUGACGGUACCUGCAGAAAAAGCGCCGGCUAACUACGUGCCAGCAGCCGCGGUAAUACGUAGGGCGCAAGCGUUAUCCGGAAUUAUUGGGCGUAAAGAGCUCGUAGGCGGUUUGUCGCGUCUGCUGUGAAAUCCCGAGGCUCAACCUCGGGCCUGCAGUGGGUACGGGCAGACUAGAGUGCGGUAGGGGAGAUUGGAAUUCCUGGUGUAGCGGUGGAAUGCGCAGAUAUCAGGAGGAACACCGAUGGCGAAGGCAGAUCUCUGGGCCGUAACUGACGCUGAGGAGC
rnacentral:rRNA from 1 species